rnacentral:rRNA from 1 species
UGCUAUACUUAGAUUGAAAAUUUAUUUAAGCUUGAGUAGUAAUCAGUUAUGACCUAGAAACUUAAAGGAUUUGGCGGUAUUUUAGUCUAGUUAGAGGAACCUGUUUUAUAAACGAUAAACCACGAAUUAUCUUACUUUCUUUAGCAAAUUCAGCUUGUAUACCGUCAUUAGCAGAUAACCCUUAGAAGGAGUUAUUAAAAUAAAUUAUUUAUUAAUAUAUUAGAUCAAGGUGCAGCCAAUGGGGAAGAAAAUAAUGGGUUACAAUAUUUUAAGAUAAACGGAAAGGGGGUCUAAGAUACCUUAGAAGGUGGAUUUAAUAGUAAUUGUGCUUUAAUAAGAGACAGUGAUAUUAGCUCUAAAGUAU